UACGUAGGGGGCAAGCGUUGUCCGGAAUCAUUGGGCGUAAAGCGCUUGUAGGCGGUUUGUCGCGUCUGCUGUGAAAUUUCGGGGCUCAACCCCGAACUUGCAGUGGGUACGGGCAGACUAGAGUGUGGUAGGGGAGACUGGAAUUCCUGGUGUAGCGGUGAAAUGCGCAGAUAUCAGGAGGAACACCGAUGGCGAAGGCAGGUCUCUGGGCCAUAACUGACGCUGAGAAGCGAAAGCAUGGGGAGCGAACAGG
rnacentral:rRNA from 1 species